rnacentral:rRNA from 1 species
CCUACGGGAGGCAGCAGUGGGGAAUAUUGGACAAUGGGCGAAAGCCUGAUCCAGCCAUGCCGCGUGUGUGAAGAAGGCCUUCGGGUUGUAAAGCACUUUCAGUGGGGAAGAAAGCCUUGGGGCUAAUACCCUCGAGGAAGGACAUCACCCACAGAAGAAGCACCGGCUAACUCCGUGCCAGCAGCCGCGGUAAUACGGAGGGUGCGAGCGUUAAUCGGAAUUACUGGGCGUAAAGCGCGCGUAGGCGGUCUGAUAAGCCGGUUGUGAAAGCCCCGGGCUCAACCUGGGAACGGCAUCCGGAACUGUCAGGCUAGAGUGCAGGAGAGGAAGGUAGAAUUCCCGGUGUAGCGGUGAAAUGCGUAGAGAUCGGGAGGAAUACCAGUGGCGAAGGCGGCCUUCAGGACUGACACUGACGCUGAGGUGCGAAAGCGUGGGUAGCAAACAGGAUUAGAUACCCGUGUAGUC